rnacentral:tRNA from 1 species
CAUUAGGUGGCUGAACUUAAGCGUUAGUCUUUUAAACUUAUUAUAGUGAAAACUCCUAAUGU